rnacentral:lncRNA from 1 species
ACAUAUUCGCCUGAAUAUUAGCGAAGAGCCAGGCCACAUAAUCUCAGGAGCUUGUGAAGACUGCCCCCACAUGGGUUUUCGCUCUGUGUCCCGAAAACUUAAGACAGAGCAAGUCAUAGCACUGCGUUCGAGACUCCAUUAGUCAACACAUACUGCCUAAAAAUACGCUCGACAUAUUGAAAUUCUGUACUCAAACAUUCCUGCUUUCUUUUUCAUUGCAGCGCAAACUCUUCUGCGACGACCGAAAACCAACAGACGAGGAAAAGGCCUCGUUCAAUCGUACCGUCGUUCAGGGCUUAGUGCAUCUCAUCGAAGGACCGUUCGCAGUUGGCGACAGUCUCACUCUCGCCGAUCUGUGCAUCGUUGCCAACCUGACGAUCGCUUUCAUAAACGGCUUCGUGGAGAUCGACAAUUACACCGCCUUGGAAGCGUACUACGAUCGGGUUCUAGAGGAGCUUCCCUACUUAACUGAGAUCUUUGGAGAAGCCAUCGGUGUCCUCCUGCAGCGUCGAUCGGAGCUCCUUGACCUUCCUGUUUCUCCGACGUCUGAAUGAUCUGAGCUAAUGAUCGGCCCGAGACAAACACAACUACGGAUCUAUAAUAAAGCAAGCCUUCUCUGAA